GAAACUUUGUAGGGUGAAGAAGGCCUCCUUGGAUUUCUCACUGACCCGAGCCCCAAAUCCAGACUUAUUCCUGGCUGCACGACCUUGAGCGCCCCAUCUAACUUCACCUGGCCUUGGUUUCUUCAUCAGCAAACGUGAGAUAAUUAUUCCUACAUCUCUGCACGUGUCAGGACCCAGGGACACCAUCCAGGAAAAAGCACCAGUGCCUACAGCAUCUCCUGGACCACCCUGCUCCUCCGAAUCUGCUUCCCCUGACCCCUUGAAAGGAGGCCCUUUCCCCACCACUUCCAACCUAUGAUAAGGUUGACCGAAAGGUAAAGGGCCGGCCGCCUGACCAUACCUGAUCUCAGUGACUCAGAAGGUCGGGGCAGGAGGAUCCCAAGUUCAAGGCCAGCCUGGGCGAAUCAGCAGGAACCUCGGCAAUUUAGUGAGACCCUGUCUCAAAAAUAAAAUAAAU
rnacentral:lncRNA from 1 species